CAAUAGCGUAUAUUAAAGUUGUUGCGGUUAAAAAGCUCGUAGUUGGAUUUCUGCCGAGGACGACCGGUCCGCCCUCUGGGUGUGUAUCUGGUUUGGCCUGGGCAUCUUCUUGGAGAACGUAGCUGCACUUGACUGUGUGGUGCGGUGUCCAGGACUUUUACUUUGAGGAAAUUAGAGUGUUUCAAGCAGGCACACGCCUUGAAUACAUUAGCAUGGAAUAAUAAGAUAGGACCUCGGUUCUAUUUUGUUGGUUUCUAGAGCUGAGGUAAUGAUUAAUAGGGAUAGUUGGGGGCAUUCGUAUUUAACUGUCAGAGGUGAAAUUCUUGGAUUUGUUAAAGACGGACUACUGUGAAAGCAUUUGCCAAGGAUGUUUUCAUUGA
rnacentral:rRNA from 1 species